AAUAAACUUAUUGGUGUCUAUUUCCUCAUAGUAUAUGCUCUCUACAUGUCCCUGACUUGUAGUGAAAAAUCUCAAUAUAAUUUAACUUAGUAUUGUUAACAUUAUAGCUAUUAUAAUAAUAUUUGGUAUUUUAUAUUUGGGAGAAGUUGUCAUGAACAAUGACUGCCUAGAGAGAAACCUUAAUAAAUGUUGUAUAUGUUCUAACUGGUUGAAGAUGGCAAGUAAGACUGCCUAGAGUAUCUUCUCUCUGACUAGCUACUCACCUUCUCUUUCCAUUUCCUUGACUCUUUCUACUCCCAAGGCACAUUAAUAUUGAAAGAGGGUUGUUUACCUCACAAUGCUCUCAAAGUAUUCAAGUGAAUGGAAGAGUCUUAGCUCUCCAAUUGUAUCGAAAUGCAAAAAAAAAAAAAAUAUUGAGCUUGGUGAAAAAGAAAGAUGAAGUAGUUUAUACGUUGGAGGCCUCUUACCAAAAAGAUCCAAGUUUUGAAUGCAAAGGAAAAGCUUGAAGGACAUUCAAUGUUUGACACCAGUGAAUGCAUGAAUGCAUACGUGAUUUUUUUUUUUUUUAAAGAAGAAAAAAAAGCAGAGAGCAGCAUGUUUUGAAGAAAGUUUUAAUGGCCCGGACAUAAAAAUCAAGCCAACCACAACAUUCCCUUAAGCCACAGUACAAUCCAGGAAAAACCACUGAGUCUUUUCAAUUUUGUGAAGAUCUGGACAGGUGAAAAGCUUUGGGCAGAGUGUUUGAGGCUAAUGGAGGUUGACUUCUGAAGCUUAAAGGGCAAAAAGCUGUCUUUACAAUGUAAAAACUCUAGGGUGAAGCAGCAAGUGCUGAUAUCAAAGCUGUGAUGUUAUCGAGAAUAUCUAGCCAGGCUAAUUGAGACAAUGACUGCACUACAGAGUAGUAGAGUCGCAAUGUGGACUAAACAGCCUUAUCUUAGGAGAUGUCCUGUAAUUCUGUCAUGUCUAUGACAUCAGUGAGAGAUUUUAAGCUUCUAAUGCCAUGCAAAACAUACUUUGGUGGUUGAAUAGAGUUGCUAAUUUUAUUUUGGAGCCAACAGUCACCUGCCAUUCUAGGAAUAAGAGAAUCAUUAAGACUCAUAUGGAGUCUCUUAUGUGCACACAUCAAGUCUUUCCUGAGAGUAUACAGUAUGGUGUACUGAAUAUUUCAAGUAUGCGUGAGACUUACAAACCAGAAACAUAAAGCCAAAAUUAUAUCUUUCAAAAUAAUGCUGCUUAUUGGAAGUGCAAGAAGUCACUGGAGAGUUUGAUGAAUAUAAACAAUAAAAUUGUAUUAGUUAUUUUUUUUAUUUCCGAGAUAAAUUAUUCAGUAAAAGUGGGGGAAGAUGUACAAUGGCUGACAAUUAAGUAUUCAAUCUGUCAUGGAGAUUAACCAUUCAGAUAUUAAUAUUAUCUUCAUGCUAAUUAAAACAGCACCCAUGUGUAUGCAAGAAAUCCUAAUAUACUUUAGACUUUCAAAUCUUACAGUGUAAUAAACAUAUUCAUAAGGCUGCCUGUGUCAUAGGUAUUAACCCUUUCACAGAUGUGAACAAGGCUACACUAACAAGGUCUAGAAAGGAUUCAGUGGUCCAGAUGCUAAAAAUACUUGGAAUUCAAUAGAUUGAGUAAAAAUAUCAGCAGUAAUAAGAAUUUGAAAGAGUAGGAUUCUUACUUUUCUGGGUGACUUUGAGACAUUUAGAAAUCAAGAGAGGCAGUGACUGCAAAUAUAGC
rnacentral:lncRNA from 1 species